UGCCAGCCGCCGCGGUAACACGGGGGGCGCAGGCGUUAUUCGGAAUUAUUGGGCGUAAAGAGCGCGUAGGCGGCUUCAUAAGUUAAGGGUGAAAUCCCGGGGCUUAACUCCGGAACUGCUCUUAAAACUGUGGAGCUAGAGACAAUCAGAGGUGGGUGGAAUUCCAGGUGUAGAGGUGAAAUUCGUAGAUAUCUGGAGGAACACCGGUGGCGAAGGCGGCCCACUGGGAUUGUUCUGACGCUGAGGCGCGAAAGCGUGGUGAGCGAACGGGAUUAGAUA
rnacentral:rRNA from 1 species